rnacentral:rRNA from 1 species
GAUGAACGCUGGCGGCGUGCUUAACACAUGCAAGUCGAACGAGAAGUGGAGACGGAAGCCUUCGGGCGGAAGACUCUAUUUCGAGUGGCGGACGGGUGAGUAACGCGUGGGUAACCUGCCUCAUACAGGGGGAUAACAGUUGGAAACGACGGUUAAUACCGCAUAAGACCACAGCACCGCAUGGUGCGGGGGUAAAAACUACGGUGGUAUGAGAUGGACCCGCGUUAGAUUAGCCAGUUGGCGGGGUAACGGCCCACCAAAGCGACGAUCGAUAGCCGAUCUGAGAGGAUGACCGGCCACAUUGGGACUGAGACACGGCCCAAACUCCUACGGGAGGCAGCAGUGGGGAAUAUUGCACAAUGGGGGAAACCCUGAUGCAGCGACGCCGCGUGAGUGAAGAAGUAUUUCGGGAUGUAAAGCUCUAUCAGCAGGGAAGAAAAUGACGGUACCUGAGUAAGAAGCCCCGGCUAACUACGUG